AGUGAACGCUGGCGGUAGGCCUAACACAUGCAAGUCGCACGGCAGCACAGUAAGAGCUUGCUCCUACGGGUGGCGAGUGGCGGACGGGUGAGGAACACAUCGGCAUCUACUCUUUCGUCGGGGAUAACGUAGGGAAACUUACGCUAAUACCGCAUACGACCUCCGGGUGAAAGCAGGGGAUCUUCGGACCUUGCGCGAGUGAAUGAGCCGAUGUCGGAUUAGCUAGUUGGCGGGGUAAAGGCCCACCAAGGCGACGAUCCGUAGGGGGUCUGAGCGGAUGAGCAGCUACACUAGAACGGAGACACGGUACAGACCACAACGGUAGGGGGGAGUGGGGAGUAUUGGACAAGGGGCGCAGCGCUAGUCCAAACAUACCGCGUGGGUGAAAAAGGCCUGGGGGUUUUGAUGCUCUUUUGUUGGGAGGGAAAGACAGCGUGUUAAUAGCCUGCGGUUUUGAAGGUACCGAAAGAAUAAGCACCGGCUAACUUCGUG
rnacentral:rRNA from 1 species